CCUCUUUUAGAGGGAGUGGCGCACGGGUGCGUAACGCGUGGGAACCUGCCCUUAGGUUCGGAAUAACUCAAAGAAAUUUGAGCUAAUACCGGAUAAUGUCUUCGGACCAAAGAUUUAUCGCCUUUGGAUGGGCCCGCGUAGGAUUAGAUAGUUGGUGGGGUAAUGGCCUACCAAGUCGACGAUCCUUAGCUGGUCUGAGAGGAUGAUCAGCCACACUGGGACUGAGACACGGCCCAGACUCCUACGGGAGGCAGCAGUGGGGAAUAUUGGACAAUGGGCGAAAGCCUGAUCCAGCAAUGCCGCGUGAGUGAUGAAGGCCUUAGGGUUGUAAAGCUCUUUUACCAGGGAUGAUAAUGACAGUACCUGGAGAAUAAGCUCCGGCUAACUCCGUGCCAGCAGCCGCGGUAAUACGGAGGGAGCUAGCGUUGUUCGGAAUUACUGGGCGUAAAGCGCACGUAGGCGGCUUUUCAAGUCAGGGGUGAAAUCCCGGGGCUCAACCCCGGAACUGCCCUUGAAACUGGAUGGCUAGAAUACUGGAGAGGUGAGUGGAAUUCCGAGUGUAGAGGUGAAAUUCGUAGAUAUUCGGAAGAACACCAGUGGCGAAGGCGACUCACUGGACAGUUAUUGACGCUGAGGUGCGAAAGC
rnacentral:rRNA from 1 species